rnacentral:rRNA from 1 species
GUUGCCAUCAUUUAGUUGGGCACUCUAAGGGGACUGCCGGUGAUAAGCCGAGAGGAAGGUGGGGAUGACGUCAAGUCCUCAUGGCCCUUACGGGCUGGGCUACACACGUGCUACAAUGGCGGUGACAGUGGGCAGCGAAGGGGUGACCCUGAGCUAAUCUCCAAAAGCCGUCUCAGUUCGGAUUGCACUCUGCAACUCGAGUGCAUGAAGUCGGAAUCGCUAGUAAUCGCAGAUCAGCACGCUGCGGUGAAUACGUUCCCGGGCCUUGUACACACCGCCCGUCACACCAUGGGAGUUGGCUUUACCCGAAGGCGAUGCGCCAACCGCAAGGGGGCAGUCGACCACGGUAGGGUCAGCGACUGGGGUGAAGUCGUAACAAGGUAGCC